GGGGGUGUAGUUCAAUGGUAGAGCGCGUGCUUUGCAAGCACGAAGCUACCGGUUCAAGUCCGGUCACCUCCA
rnacentral:tRNA from 1 species